GGAAGAAAAGUGUAACAAGGUCUCCGUUGGUGAACCAGCGGAGGGAUCAUUACAGGACUCGCAAGACUCCUACAACCCUGUGAACUUAACUAUAAGCACGUUGCUUCGGCGGGUGCCUCGGAGGGGGUUCUCCCUCCCCGAGACGCUAAACCCGCCGGCAGCCUACUAUACUCUGUCUCUUUGCGUUGGCAUCUCGAGUACAAUCAAACAAGUUAAAACUUUCAACAACGGAUCUCUUGGUUCUG
rnacentral:misc_RNA from 1 species